rnacentral:rRNA from 1 species
AGCAUGUGGUUCAAUUCGACGCAACGCGAAGAACCUUACCCAGGCUUGAACUGCAGGUGACAUCCUACGAAAGUAGGCUUCCGCAAGGACACCUGUAGAGGUGCUGCAUGGCUGUCGUCAGCUCGUGUCGUGAGAUGUUGGGUUAAGUCCCGCAACGAGCGCAACCCUUGUCUUCUGUUGCCAUCGGGUUAUGCCGGGCACUCUGAGGAGACUGCCGGUGACAAACCGGAGGAAGGUGGGGAUGACGUCAAGUCAGCAUGGCCUUUAUGUCUGGGGCCACACACGUGCUACAAUGGCCGGUACAAACCGUCGCGAUCUCGCGAGAGGGAGCUAAUCGGAGAAAGCCGGUCUCAGUUCGGAUUGUAGGCUGCAACUCGCCUGCAUGAAGUUGGAAUCGCUAGUAAUCGCGGAUCAGCACGCCGCGGUGAAUACGUUCCCGGGCCUUGUACACACCGCCCGUCACAUCACGAAAGCCGGCUGUACUAGAAGUCGCUGCGCUAACCCGCAAGGGGGGCAAGCGCCUAAGGUAUGGUCGGUGAUUGGGGUG